GCCUUUGUAGCGUAGUGGUCAGCACGCUCGACGCGUAUUCGAGAGGUCCGUGGUUCGAGUCCCGGCGAAGGCA
rnacentral:tRNA from 1 species